AUUGCAAAUGGAGUGACCGCCCUCAGACUGUACUUACUUAAUAAAUUUGAUGACCUAUAACGAAAUUUUAUAAAAGCCUGCUAAGUUUCUUACGCCUGUUUCUCAGACCUGAGGCAUAACUUGUGGGGUGAGACAUGAAUGUGUGGUAGUUUUUUGACGUCCAAUAAUAUUAUGUCUUGGGCUUUCGUUGGCAUACUUGGUCACGUCAGCACCAACAAAGUAUGAUGAAGGCAAAGGCCGCUAUCCACUUCCACAAGUCAACGGCGGCCAUAGCAAUGUAAAGGCCACAUUCCAGAAUUGGAAUUGCAACUAAGGAAAGGAGAAUUUAUUUGUAACGGCAAAAUAUGUGAGCUGCGUCCCGGAGAAAUACCAGAUGGCUGUAAUGGAAAAUGUCAAUACAAAAUAUAAUAAAUCUUACAAACAAUAUUUUUUAUAAAUUCUCAAUUAUAAUUAAUUAAUAAACAAUUAAAUAAUACCCUC